GACGAGGGGUCCUAGCGUUGUUCGGAAUCACUGGGCGUAAAGCGUAUGUAGGCGGGUUUUUAAGUCGGGGGUGAAAUCCCACGGCUCAACCGUGGAAUUGCAUUCGAAACUGGAAAUCUUGAGUGUGGGAGAGAUUGAUAGAAUACCUAGUGUAGUGGUGAAAUACGUAGAUAUUAGGUGGAAUACCGGUGGCGAAGGCGGCCAAUUGGCCCAACACUGACGCUGAGAUACGAAAGCGUGGGGAUCAAACAGG
rnacentral:rRNA from 1 species